rnacentral:rRNA from 1 species
GACCUCAAAUCAGGUAGAUAG